UCUAAUUAACCACUAAUCAACAAGUUGCUAAGGAAUGUCCUUGGGCCUUUGGCAUCUAACAACUGUUAAUUGCAUUAAGAAAUAGAGAGACCUAAUUCUAGCUACCCAAACGUAUGGUGAUAUUGCUAGAUUAUGCAAUUUCCUAGGUUUUUACACCAAGGGUUACUUGUGUUUGAAUAAUUCAAGCAAUUACGGACUUCAAACUAUCCAAACUAAUAAAUUAUUACUUUGCAAUCAAGA
rnacentral:lncRNA from 1 species